rnacentral:rRNA from 1 species
UACGGAGGGGGCGAGCGUUAUUCGGAAUUAUUGGGCGUAAAGGGCGCGUAGGCGGCUUCGUAAGUCAAAGGUGAAAUCCCUCGGCUCAACUGAGGAACUGCCUUUGAAACUGUGAGGCUUGAGGCCGGGAGGGGGUAGCGGAAUUCCCAGUGUAGCGGUGAAAUGCGUAGAUACUGGGAGGAACACCAGUGGCGAAGGCGGCUACCUGGAUCGGUUCUGACGCUGAGGCGCGAAAGCGUGGGUAGCAAACAGG